rnacentral:rRNA from 1 species
GACGUAGGGCGCGAGCGUUGUCCGGAAUUAUUGGGCGUAAAGCGCGUGUAGGCGGUCCGGUAAGUCCGCUGUGAAAGUCGGGGGCUCAACCCUCGGAUGCCGGUGGAUACUGUCGGGCUUGAGUACGGAAGAGGCGAGUGGAAUUCCUGGUGUAGCGGUGAAAUGCGCAGAUAUCAGGAGGAACACCAAUUGCGAAGGCAGCUCGCUGGGACGUUACUGACGCUGAGACGCGAAAGCGUGGGGAGCAAACAGG